rnacentral:rRNA from 1 species
CCUACGGGAGGCUGCAGUGGGGAAUAUUGCACAAUGGGCGCAAGCCUGAUGCAGCCAUGCCGCGUGUGUGAAGAAGGCCUUCGGGUUGUAAAGCACUUUCAGCGGGGAGGAAGGCGUUAAGGUUAAUAACCUUGUCGAUUGACGUUACCCGCAGAAGAAGCACCGGCUAACUCCGUGCCAGCAGCCGCGGUAAUACGGAGGGUGCAAGCGUUAAUCGGAAUUACUGGGCGUAAAGCGCACACAGGCGGUCUGUCAAGUCGGAUGUGAAAUCCCCGGGCUCAACCUGGGAACUGCAUUCGAAACUGGCAGGCUAGAGUCUUGUAGAGGGGGGUAGAAUUCCAGGUGUAGCGGUGAAAUGCGUAGAGAUCUGGAGGAAUACCGGUGGCGAAGGCGGCCCCCUGGACAAAGACUGACGCUCAGGUGCGAAAGCGUGGGGAGCAAACAGGAUUAGAUACCCGAGUAGUC